GGAAUUUGGUCAUGAUUUUUACAUACUUGUGGUUCCAUGAUUUAUAUUUCCAAAGAAACAAGAAUUUCAUGAUUUCGACAUUCCUAAUUAAAGUUUUUAAUUAUACACUAUGGACGUGCGAAUAUGAAAAAAAAAGGGAGGCAAAAUUUGAGCUGAGUUUAUAAUGAAAUCUGUACAAAUCCAAUGGGAAUUCAGUCAUGAUUUUUACAUACAUUGUGGUUCCAUGAGUUAUCUUUCCAACAGAAUAAGAAUUUAAUAAUUUCGUCACUCCUAGUUCGAGUUAUGGAUUUUCUACCACAGACAUGCAAGGCUGAAAAACUGCGCAUUGAAAAAAGAUAAUAAUUUUGAGCCAAGUUGAAAACGAAAUCUGUACAAAUCUGGAGAACUUAUGAUCAUGAUUUUUACAUACAUCGUAGUUUAAUCAGUUAUGUUUCCAAUGGAAUAAGAAUUUCAUGAUUUUGACACUCCUAGUUCGAGUUAUGAUUUUUUUCAUAAACAUCCAAAUCUGAAAAAAUUGCGAUACAAAAUUCGAGCUGUCUUUUAUGGAAGAUUUCCACAAGUGCAAAAAGAAGCUUUUGGUCGUGAUUUUCAUACAUAUUGUAGUUUUGUGAAUUUUUGUUCCAAUGGUGCAACUGCCUCAGAAUUCGAAAUUAUUUGUCUCAUGCCACGUAUGUCAAAUUGUAUGGAUCAGGGAAGACAAAUAAAAUUUGAUUUGCAUGUCAGAUUUGAAAAUAAACUACAUAGAACAGAAGCAUUAAAAGAAAUAUGUCACUUUUAUAGCUCCAAGAGAGACUACCAAUACAUCAUGACAGGAUCAAAAAAGAAAAUAAAACUAGAACAAAAAGAAAGAGAACAUUAUUGUGCAAAAACAGAAAAAAAUUAAGGAUUAAGGG
rnacentral:lncRNA from 1 species